AAGAAAACACAGUUGAAUUUAUAAACUUUAUAUAAGUGAAAUUUCAUUGUAUAUUUAACCGUCUAGAUUCAUCGAAGAAUUAAUGUAUUUGGUUGAUAAUAUAAACUAAAUACAUUAGAUAUUUUAUGAAUCUAAAUAAAAAGAAAUUCUUAGAGUGGGAGAAUGAAUUUAAAGCUUAUGGAUAAUGGUUGUUGUAAACCAAACGAUGUUCAUUUUGAUGAUGUAAAGGGGGGUUCGUGCGACAGAGUUGUG
rnacentral:lncRNA from 1 species